CUUUUCUUUUCUUUUUUUUUUUUUUUUCCUUUUAUUUUCCCUUCUAUACAGCAUUAGUCAGGGUCUCCAUAGAAACGGAAGCUGUGUGUGUAUGAUUAAUUAUAAGGAAGGGGCUCGUGUGAUUAUGGAGAUGAGCAGGUCCUAAGAUCUGUAGGGUGAGUAGGCAAGCUGGAGACCCAGCAGAGCCAGUGACUGAGCCUGUGUUCCAGUCCUUGUGUGAUGGCUGAGAGGCAGCAGAACCCUGGUGUAGUCUGAAGCAGGUCCAAAGCUAGCAGACCCAAGAAGAGCCAAGGUCAUGAGUCAAAAGCAGGAAAAUGCCUUUGUCCCAGGCUUUCGGGCUUUCGGGCUUUCGGGCAGGAGGCGUUCUCUCAUACUCCGGGAGAGCCAGUCUUCUGGCUGUGUUCAGGCCUUGAACCUGAAUAGGGUCCUGUUCUACCACCCCCACCCCCACCCCUGAUUAGGGAGGGCAAUCUGCUUUGCUCAGCCUACUUAUUUCAAUCAUUUCAAUUACUCAGCUAUUAGCCCCACCCCAAAACAUCCUCACAGGGACACUGAAUAGUGUUUGACCAAGUAGCUGGGUACCCCGUGGCCNUUUCGGGCAGGAGGCGUUCUCUCAUACUCCGGGAGAGCCAGUCUUCUGGCUGGACACUGAAUAGUAUUUGACCAAGUAGCUGGGUACCCCAUGGCCCAUUCAAGGUGACACAUCAAGUUAACCAUCACAGAUGCCUUCCGAGUCCUUGCACACAGGACACUACUGCAGUUGCUAAGACUGUGAGCUCUCAGGUCACUACUUCUGCUUCCCAUUUCUCCUCUUUUCUUUUUUCUUUUCUUUUUUUUUUUUUUUUUUUUUUUUUUUUUUUUUUUUUUGUUCCCCUUGGCCACCCUGGGGUUUAUGGAGCUCCCAGGCCAGGGAUCAGAUCCUAGCCGCAGUUGUGACCUACACCAAAGCUGUGGCAACGCCAGAUUCUUUAACCCACUGUGCUGGGCCAGGGAUCAAACCUGCCUCCUGGCGCUACAGAGGUACCACUGAUCCCGUUGUACCACAGCAGGAACUCCUCUUCUCUUUUCUUUACGGUAAAGUUUCUAGAAAGGGAAAUCUAGCCUCACUGUCAGGAAUUUCUCACCUGUCACUCACUGGUCAACCCAAUGACAUGGGACCUCUGUCCCCAUCACUCCAUUGAAAUUGAUUUCCUUAAGAAGGUCCAUAAUCUAAUUGUCGAAUUCUGUCCUCUCUUGCUUCCCAUAAUAGCACAGCAUCCUGAAUUUCCUCCUACCUCUCCAGCCUCUUUCCUUCUGUGAUAUUCCCUAGGGGGCCACCUUCGUCUUUUAUAACCUCCAUCCCCUGUGUCAUACACUUCCUCAAAAUACCAGCCAUGCUCCCAAACUCAAACUCUGUAUCUUGGAGUUCCCAUGUGGCACAGUGGGUUAAGGAUCCAGGUUUGUCACUGCAGCAGCUCAGGUCACUGCUGUGGUUCAGGUGGAUCCCUGGCCAGGAAAUUUCCACAUGCUGCACGCACAGCAAAGACAACAGCAAAAAUCUAUGUCUUCAACAUGCAUCUCUCAGAGUUCCCAUUGUGGCUCAGUGGUAAUGAACCCGACUAGUAUCCAUGAGGAUGCAGGUUCAAUCCCUGGCCUCACUCAGUGGGUUGGGGAUCCAGCAUUGCCAUGAACUGUGAUGUAGGUUGCAGACACAGCUUGGAUUCCGUGUGGCUGUGGUGCAGGCCGGCUGUACAGCUCUGAUUUGACCCCUACCCUGGGAACUUCUACAUGCCUGCCGCAGGCGCAGCCCUGAAAAGCAAAAACAAAAACCCAAAAAAACAAAACAUACACUGUUCUUGGAACUGUAGUCUUGUGUGUGUAACUGCUCAUAGAUUCCUUCUCCACAUGACACUCCCCACCUGAAACUGGGAACUUAACAUAUCACAUUAAAUUCAUCGUUUUUGGAGUUCUUGUUGUGGUUCAGCAGGUUAAGAAUCUAACUAGUAUCCAUGAGGAUGCAGGUUCGAUCCCUGGCCUCAUUCAGUGGGUUAAGGAUCCAGCAUUGCCGCAAGCUGCAGCAUAGUUGCAGAUGCAGCUUGGAUCCAGCUUUGCCGUAGCUGUGGUGUAGGCUGGCAGCCACAGCUCUGAUUGAUCCCAUCAUCUUCAAACUUCCAUGCCAUGGGUGCAGCCCUAGGGGCGGGGCGGGGGGGUGCAGGCGAUGCUGUCAUCUACCCCAUCUUCUAAGCUUCCACCUGGGGGACAUUUAGGACAGCACCCCCUCACCCUUGCCCUCUAAUUCCAAUCAGUUCCUGUGCUCUAGCCUUUCUACUUCUACUUGCUAAAUACCCAUCUCUCUGCCUCUCCGCUGUCUCUGUCAUGGGCUUAAUCUGGACCCUCCUCAUUUCUCACCUGGACUGCAGCACGGCUUUGAAAUGGAUUUCCCUGCACCACCGUUCCAGCUGCCUUUCCACUUCCCCCACUAGAUUCACUGUGGUUUUUGUGACAAGCAAGUAUGAUCAAGACACUUGCCAGUUGUCAAAGUCUUCCCCGUUGUUUUGAGGAUGAAGGAUGAAGACAGUUGCAACAGCUGGGUAGAGAGGCCGUGAACUAAAACAGCGGCAACUGAGAUGGAGAGAUGCGGGGCUGGGGAGAGAGGAGCAGGAGGUCCUACGGAGCUAGAAGGGAAGAGAUCCCAUUACUGAUUAGAUGUCGGGAGUGGGGAUAGUGGAAGCACGAAGGAAAACGCCCCAUCAUCAUCUGAGUUGGAUGAUUGAGUGGGCGUGGCCUCAUUCUCCGAGACUAGGGACCGAGACCUUCCUUCCCUCGUGGUCUGUUGUGACCUCAGCAGGACACCUCAUCUGGGGCAACAAGGUCUUUAGGAAACUGGGGAGUCUGGGCGGAGAUGAGUUAGAACCUGGUAAAGAAGAAGAAGUAAACCUCUCUUCUGCCAGGAGGCUCCUAAAAGUUUGCUGGCAAAGACCAGGAAAAGAACCAGGACCAUGCGCUCAGCAAGACAUUACCUAAGUGCAAAAGGGUUUAAAGGACUCAUAACUCUGACUUCCAUCCUCAUUUAUUUCAUGAGCAUUGCCGUUCCCUUUUUCUCGGUCAGGGUUUUGGCUGUGUUUGGAAUAUCUUGCCCUUUGCAAAAAAUUCUAAAACACAAAUUGUUCUGUUGCUGUGCCUCCAGGGUGCACAUAGAUAAACCAAUAGACAGCUCUUGUCAUCUCACUGUCUUUUCUGAGUCUUACUCAGUUAAAACAAAGGAAAGGCUUGUUUGCUAGACCUUUGAAACAUACCUGAGCAUGUCCAAUUCACUCAAAAGCCAAUUCCCUCCAGGGAUCACUCUGAAGGAACCCAAGUCAUUUGAAAAUCUAUACACCAACAAUUGAUUAAAUUGAGCCAGAUCCCCCAGUUGAACUGUUUAGCCAAAUUCAGGUAUAUCCAAUACAUUGGGGUAGUAAGUCCUCAACACAUUUUUCUUCGGCACGGCCAGAUAAGAUUAUUUAUUGUUUUACACAAAUCGGAAAUAUAUAUGCUAUAACUACGAAGUUUUCAUAGGUAACCUGGUUAGAGUCCUGAACGGGACCCAAGAGAAGGCUGAUCUUUCUGCCAGAGAGCAGCAAAAAAAUCUGACUUUCUGCUCUGCGAGCAGGUGGCUGAUGGACUGUUUUAUGAAGGGUUUAAUUAACUCUGUCGGUCUUGUCUUAGCUACCUACCAAAAUAAACUGUGCAAAUCCCAACAUGAUAGAAGGACUCUAUCAUCAGCUUAUCUGUGUAAGGCUCCACAGCCUAGGGAAAUGAAAUAACUAAGGAAGAGAAGUUAGUAAGUGUGUAGUUUUAAGAGGCCUCUAUUUCAGGUGCUGCCAGUGGCCAGACAGUGAACAGCCAGGGAGCCCUUCUGGCUGCUUUAUUCCUGGGCCCCAAGUUGUCCUCGGAGCCGUCAGGGGGAUCCAGCCGGGUUCAGUGCCUGGGCUCUGCUUGUCAUCUUGGUGUCCCCCUCAAGGGGACGUUGCCUGGCCCCCUGAUGAGGGUCGGUCGUUAUGACACUUUUACUCAUAAAUCUCACCCGGGUGAAGCCCCAUUCCCUUGGGACACUACCCAGUGGCAAAAGGGUAACCAGGUAAAUGCAUUCAAUGAAUAAUGGUCACUACUGAUACAUGCUUCAUGUCUGUGCCUUUCGAUUGAACAGCACUGCAUUCUCACCACCACCUCCAAGGCCUUAUCUCAAAAGCACAAGCAAAGUGGAAACAUCACACAGUGUGACAGAGAGUCAGAGAUAGAAAUAGAGAGAUCCUAGCUUUGAUCAAUAAUACCUUUCCUGGUAUCCCACCCACUAUACAUGCAGGUGAGAACCUAAAUAAGACCUAGAAUUGAGGACACAUUUUUGUCUGAGCCCUUUGUCUUCCAUUUGAGGAAGCUGGGGCCUGAAAAUGGCUGUGUUGCCCAAAGUCAUACCUGGACUAGAGCCCAGGUCUCCUGAUUUCAGGCCACUGAUCUUCCUGCCAUGUUGUCAGUUGCGAAUGGCCCAAUGGGAGGUGAAAAGGUUGGAGAACCCGGCUUAUCUUAGUAGCUACCCAGGUCUCUUCCCAUCAAGGACUUUAAAUAUAAGGUUCAGAGAGCAGACUAGGUAGACACCCAAGGAGAAAUGGGAAAAGUGUAGACUCAGUGGUCCAUUGCCCUCAGUCUGGGAAGCGGAAUGGGUUGGCAGGAAACCAGGAGCAUAGAUUGUCCUGAGGGAGCCGUAAGAGCUGCCUUCCUCAGUUGUGGAUAUUCCAUCCCACAGAAAGAACCAUCCAACGAGCAGAAGCCCUGCCAUUUUUAUCCUAAGCCCAAGAGUACUGCCCUGCUUCUGGAUUCCACCCCACCCACCCCUUCCUUUAGAAAGAGAUUCUUUGUUUCUCUACCACCAAUUCUCACAGACCUCCAGGGAAAGAGUCUUCUUCAUCAUAUGUCUUCAUUCCAUAAGCGUGUAUUGAGAACCUGCUAUGUACCAGAUGGUGAGCUGGGUCCUGGGGAAGCAAAGAUGGGAUAGACACAGUUAUUCUUCUCAAGAGCUCAUCCUCUGGAGGUCCCACUCGUGUAUAAGCGCUUGCUCACACAUGGGUCUAAUAGCCCCAUGUGGACGGUGGUCAUAUUUCUAAACCCCACAUGUCAACAUACGGUCUGAAAAAGAUUGCUUUUCAAUCUUUUGAUUGAAACUGUCUAUAUGAACAUCCUUCAAAGGGUUAAAAAUUAAAUUGCUUUCAUAAGUCCUUUAGCAGAGUUCCUUUACUGAAAAGAAAUAAAUUCUAUUAAAUCAGGCAUUUUUGAGAAAAAUCUGUGCUCUAUGUUCAUCAAACAUGUGUUUUUAACUUGUAAAAUUUAUAAUCAUAGGCUAUUGCAGUUGAAAAGGAUCUGACAGAUCACCUAAGCUGGUAGAAUUUGACUUUUUUAAUUUAUUUUUUAAACAAUGAAGCAGUUUUUAAAGCCAUGUAGCACCAAAAUGUCCCAAAUAUAAAACAGUUAAACUGGACCUGCUUUGGUCCAAGGAGAGAUGGAGAGCUCCCCUAAACUCCCCCUCCCACCCUGCCACUCAAGCUCCCUCAGAUUUUGGAACUGCACCCCACAAAAAUGACUAUCAAACUAGCCCUCACAUCCCAAAUGGAGACCUGAGAUCCAAAGAGAGUGGAACCUCAUUUUAAUGAAUUACAUCUGCAGCAAGCCAAUUUCCCAAUAAGGUCACAUUCUGAGAUCCUAGAAGUUAUUCCGACUUCCACACAUGAAUUGGGGAGGGGAGAGGACACAACUCAACAUAGCUCUGCUUCCUGCACAGUGGGGAUGGAGGUCUUGGUCAAGACAAGGAAGCCCCCAACACCAGAUCCUUAAGGGAGAGAGGUGAGCCUGUGUGACCACUCCUGCGGAGAAGUGAGGAGAGAGAGCGGGUGCACGGAGAGAUGUCCCUAAGAAAGCAAGAGAGGAUGGCGGUGAGACCAGAGAGAGGGAUUAGCCUGAGCAGCGGGGAGAGACUUCCUGUAUCAUCACAAGGAGACAGAAAGGAGAAAGGGAUGAGUUUGGAUGCAAAAGGAUAUCCCGAUAUGAAGGAGAGGAGUCAAGGUUGUUGCUUCAAAUGGUCCCAGCUUUCUUGUGAAGCAGGAGGAGAGGUUGCCUACUGAGGCUGACAGUGGAGUUUGGGGUUGGAGCUCAGUAGGUGGACAGGGAAUAGAAUCAGAGACUUGAGGACAGUGGAGAGAGUUUGAAAUAGCCCUGUGCAUAAUAGACCUUAGCCAGCUGUGUCUCAAGUAGGCACCAAAGAGGAUCGCUCAUAAUUGUAUCAGAAAAAUGGGAGAAUGAGGGGUGAGUUGACCAGGGAACAGA
rnacentral:lncRNA from 1 species